rnacentral:rRNA from 1 species
UACGUAGGGUGCAAGCGUUGUCCGGAAUUAUUGGGCGUAAAGAGCUCGUAGGCGGUCUGUCGCGUCGGAUGUGAAAAUCCAGGGCUCAACCCUGGACCUGCAUUCGAUACGGGCAGACUAGAGUUCGGUAGGGGAGACUGGAAUUCCUGGUGUAGCGGUGAAAUGCGCAGAUAUCAGGAGGAACACCGGUGGCGAAGGCGGGUCUCUGGGACGGUACUGACGCUGAGACGCGAAAGCGUGGGGAGCGAACAGG